rnacentral:snRNA from 1 species
UUCCCAUUAAUAAAUUGACUCU